rnacentral:rRNA from 1 species
AUUGAACGCUGGCGGCAGGCCUAACACAUGCAAGUCGAGCGGAUGAAGGGAGCUUGCUCCUGGAUUCAGCGGCGGACGGGUGAGUAAUGCCUAGGAAUCUGCCUGGUAGUGGGGGAUAACGUCCGGAAACGGGCGCUAAUACCGCAUACGUCCUGAGGGAGAAAGUGGGGGAUCUUCGGACCUCACGCUAUCAGAUGAGCCUAGGUCGGAUUAGCUAGUUGGUGGGGUAAAGGCCUACCAAGGCUACGAUCCGUAACUGGUCUGAGAGGAUGAUCAGUCACACUGGAACUGAGACACGGUCCAGACUCCUACGGGAGGCAGCAGUAGGGAAUAUUGGACAAUGGGCGAAAGCCUGAUCCAGCCAUGCCGCGUGUGUGAAGAAGGUCUUCGGAUUGUAAAGCUCGUUAAGUUGGGAGGAAGGGCAGUAAGUUAAUACCUUGCUGUUUUGACGUUACCAACAGAAUAAGCACCGGCUAACUUCGUG